UUUUUUUUUUUUUUGUCAAGUGAAUUGGACAACUCCCAAUUCUAGGUAUUACACUCAUGUAUUACACACUCACAUAACACACUUACACACACUACAUGAAUAUUACUAACAUGGAUUCUAUAUUCCUCACUGAAGAUUCAAAUCCGGGUGCAACUCCCAGCGAAGCAGGUGAUGCUGCCAUUGAUCCAAGGCCUCGGCUGCCAAUUGGUCCUAGUUUUAGUUAUAUUUUUCAUUUCGGGCCAGCAAUUUUAGUGGGCUUAUUAUGGUUACUUGAGUUAACAAGCCCCAUAUAGUGCAAUUUAAUUUGAUCAAACACAUGAAAGUGUUAAUGUGAUAUUAAUUUAGAUUACAAAAUAUUAGUUCUCAAUCCUCAUGGAAGUUUACCAUCUGAACCUAAACGAAUUGCAGAUACCUAAUGUAAAAAUUUUCUUUA